rnacentral:rRNA from 1 species
CUAAGCUACCUUUGCUAGCUGCUAUAGGCAGUAGCAAGCACCACCCACUGCUGCGGUUGUGGACACACUGGUCUCCACCCAUCUCUCCCACCACCCGCACCAAAAGACAACGCAGUGCGGAUCGAUUUAGUCGAUUUAUAGCCACACCAUGGCGAGGAAGUGCUCCCACUGUGGCAACUACGGCCACAACUCAAGAACUUGCAGCAGCGCAGCUGGAAACCAGGGAGAAGUUAUGCUCUGCGAAGGAGGCGGCGGGAGCAGCGGCGGCAGUGGGCUGAGGCUCUUCGGGGUGCAGGUCCAUGUCGCUGCGGGCCGCAGCACCGGCGCCGGCGCCUCCAUGAGGAAGAGCUACAGCAUGGACUGCCUGCAGCUCGCGGUGGCCCCUAGCUCCAUCGUCUCGCCUUCGUCGUCGUCUUCCUCGUCGGUGCUUCUGUCCAUCGAUGAGGGCUUGGAGAGGGCUUCCAAUGGGUACCUAUCUGACGGUCCUCAUGGCAGAUUAGUCCAGGAGAGGAAGAAAGGAGUUCCAUGGAGCGAGGAGGAGCACCGGCUAUUCCUCGUGGGCCUCGAGAAGCUCGGAAAGGGCGACUGGCGAGGCAUCUCCCGGAGCUACGUCACGACUCGAACCCCGACGCAGGUUGCCAGCCACGCGCAGAAGUUCUUCCUGAGGCAGAGCAGCAUGGGGAAGAAGAAGCGCCGCUCCAGCCUCUUUGACAUGGUACCGAUCUGCGAGAACGGCAUUCGCGUUUCUGAGCCGCUGACCAACAACAGCGGAGAUGCCUCCACCUCUCUGCCGCGGUAUAAAUCCCCCGACAUGGCGUCCAUUGAUCUCAACUCCACGCAGGAGGAUGACAUGGCGAUGGCGGGGGUUCCACUUUUGUCGGCGUCACCGAGGGCGCCAUUCCCGGCGGUUCUGAUGGAGCAGCCUCCUCAUGGCCACGGGCACGGUCACCACUGCUCCCCGCUGGAACUGGAGCUGGGCAUGUCUCUCUCACCACCGUCCAUCGGAACAUGACGUCAACAACGUCGCCGCCGGAGAGGAGACCCAGGACGCUCGACCCAGUUUUUAUUUUUUUUAUUUUAUCACUUAUCAGGCUGUGUCUGCUGCCUGAGCCUGACCUGUCCAACCAAUGCAAAUGGAGAUAAGGCUAUGGACAGCGCUUGUAAAGUUGCGUGCGGGUAGUGCUAAUUGUGGAUACGUUGUUCAUGUGUGUAGUACGUACCGCUGCUGCUCUUGGGUCCCGUCCCGUCCAUGUAAAAACCAGAAACUCCAACCGAAGCAUGCUCCUGUUCCCCCACGCUACGCAUGCACUCCAACUAGUAGAAUUUCGGUGAAUCACGGCUGUCCAUACUAGUACAUAUUAAUCCAAGUGGAUCUGUUCCAAAUGGAGGCAUUCAGAUUC